rnacentral:misc_RNA from 1 species
GAAAUGCGAUACUUGGUGUGAAUUGCAGAAUCCCGUGAACCAUCGAGUCUUUGAACGCAAGUUGCGCCCGAAGCCAUUAGGCCGAGGGCACGCCUGCCUGGGUGUCACACAUCGUUUCCCCAACGCAAACAUGUAACAAUGUUGCUGCGCGGGGUGUAUGCUGACCUCCCGCGAGCACCCGCCUCGUGGUUGGUUGAAAUCUGGGUUCAUGGCCGACUUCGCCGUGAUAAAAUGGUGGAUGAGCCACGCUCGAGACCAAUCACGUGCGAGCCGGUCAGUUCUGGACCCAUCGACGACCCUUUUUUUUUUAUAAGGCUACCAACGAGACCUCAGGUCAGGCGGGGCUACCCGCUGAGUUUAA